UGAGUGCUCAUGAAAAUAUAAAAAAAAAAUAAUUUUGCUCCUUGUUCGGCACAUCUUUAUUCCUUGUUUUCCAGCCUGUGCUUUCGUUUCGAGUUUCCCAAAAUCUUUUCCGUGUAACCCAAAUCACUCCUUUCAGUUCCUCACCCGUCAAUCAAUCUCUAAAAAGUUACCGGAAAUUAUUUCAGCAUUUUUCUGAAACUCGUUCCACUUUUCUGUGAGCAUAAUCUAAUUUUUAGAUACUCCUAUAUAUCUUUUAUGAGCUCUAAAUACUUUAUUUGGGUUCUUCAUGUUCUAAAAUAUCUUUAAGAAUUUUCUCAUAAUUUUUGGACCCUUCGGAGUAUUUUUCGGACCUUAAAUAUCAAUUCUGGACUUUUUGGAAUUAUUUUUAUUCACGAAAUUAAUUAAUUCCGAAAAUAAAAUAAAAUAUCUCGUUUUUCCAUCAACCCAAAACCCCAACACUAUAUAUAUGCCGGCGUAGCCCUCGAUGCGCUGAUUCCGAAAGUACGGCCGGUUUUUCGAGCCGUCGUUCCUAUCGUCUUAGAUCUAAAGCCGAAGUUUCGAAACCUAGAACUCCGGCGAACUUCCGGCGAACCUUCGGCGAGCUUUUCCGGCCAUCUCCGACAUCACCUGCGAAAAUCGUCGCCAUCUAGAGCACCAUGGCCGGCCUUCUCCUCUAUCUGCUCAGGCCACCCUGCAGAGCAACCAACCUAACCGAGUCCUAGGCACCGCAGCCCCAUGGCCAUGCCGACCAUGUGCGCCGUGGCCCUGCCGCGCCACCAGCCUUCCUGGCCGUGUGCUCGGUCGAGCAGGGCUGGCAGCAGGCCGUGCUGCCCCUGUGGUCUUGUCUCUGGCUCAUCUUGAACAUGGGUCCGUGUCGCUGUGACUUUGCGCUGCCUCGCCGUGUCUCCGGCUGGCCAGCUGGCCAGACCCCUCCCAUCCCCACGCACUGCGGCAGCAGUGGUCAUGGAGGCCACGGGCUCCUCCAGCCCAAGACGAGAACCGUUUGUGGGCGUUGAAGAUCAGAAGGUGAUGACCGAAAGCUGAAGGUGUGGGAAUUGAGCAAAUAUUUAAGGCAAGUAUAACUUGGGAUCAUCCUUGUUACCUAUUCACUUAUAACUACACAUAUAUGUCAUAUGCAUGCUAUCACCUUGUCGACCUUAGCAAAAUCAUAGA